UUUAGUUUCUAAUAAGAAACCAAAACAACAAGAAAAAUUAGAUGGAUGAUUUAUUGGAUUAAUUCUUUUGUUCUGUUUAGUUUUCAGGGAUUGUUUUCUCUGAGCAAUUGUUCUUUAAAAACUGGAUAAUAGACAUUUUUUAAAAAAAAUAAGAUAAUUUUUAUCUUGCAAUAGGAUAUUCUAAAA
rnacentral:misc_RNA from 1 species